rnacentral:tRNA from 1 species
UUUUAUCUGGGUUGCUAACUCAAUGGUAGAGUACGCGGAGUUCCGGGUUCGAGUCCCGGGCAACCCA